AGGCCACAAGUCCUCAAGAAAUGAGCAGUUUCCAAGAAAUCACCAGAGCUUCUCCUUUGGUUAUUCCUUGGAGACAGCAUGGUUGGCAAGAAACGCUGAUCAUAUAAGCCAUUACUAUUACCAUCAAAACCACUCAUGUUGUAGUAGUUGUUAUAAUAACUUAGACACUCUUCCUCAGUUCCCACCAGUGCAUGAUGAGGAUCUCCGA
rnacentral:misc_RNA from 1 species